rnacentral:rRNA from 1 species
GACGAACGCUGGCGGCGUGCUUAACACAUGCAAGUCGAACGAAGCUUGAUUACGGAUUCUUCGGAUGAAGUAUGAUAUGACUGAGUGGCGGACGGGUGAGUAACGCGUGAGUAACCUGCCCUUCAGAGGGGGAUAGCGUUUGGAAACGAACGGUAAUACCGCAUAAUGUAUUUUGACCGCAUGAUCGAAAUACCAAAGAUUUAUCGCUGAAGGAUGGACUCGCGUCUGAUUAGGUAGUUGGUGGGGUAACGGCCUACCAAGCCGACGAUCAGUAGCCGGACUGAGAGGUGGAUCGGCCACAUUGGGACUGAGACACGGCCCAGACUCCUACGGGAGGCAGCAGUGGGGAAUAUUGCACAAUGGGCGCAAGCCUGAUGCAGCAACGCCGCGUGAAGGAAGACGGUUUUCGGAUUGGAAACUUCUGUUCUUAGUGAAGAAUAAUGACGGUAGCUAAGGAGCAAGCCACGGCUAACUACGUG